ACGCUGGCUAAGCCUAGUUUCUAAACGUCUUGAGCUGUUCGUUACUAAAUAAUGAAAUACUUGCAAGUUUUUAUUCUGGGUUUCCUUGUGAUACUUUCCUUUGACUAUGGUGAAAGCAUACCGCCUAGGCCCGAGAGUUAUGAGGAGUGGUAUAAAAGUAAGGUAUUGAACUGCACACCUGGAUCACAAAUAUUGGGUUACAACCAAAUGGAGUCUUGUACCUGCGAAAGUCCAGGAGUCCUCAGCCACUGCGUACAUAUUCCGCCAAUGCCUGGAGUUCACUACUAGACAAUGUGCACGGUGAUAAUUACCCUUAAAGCUUAUUAAAGGCGAUUACAAACUUUUAAAAAUCAA